CCCAGGAUGUAGUUCAGUGGUAGAGUACUUGCCUAACAUGUGCAAAGUCCUGGGUUCAAUUCCUCAACAUGGGG
rnacentral:tRNA from 1 species